UGUAGUGACGUUAUAACUUUCUCGCUGCGCACAAUAUCGUAUCUGUUCGCGUUCGGCCUUGAAUGGAAAAAAGGUGUAUACUUUCACGUCCUAUAAGUAGCGGUGAGCGCUCUCCGUAUGGAACACAUCGUCGGAGCAGUGCACCGCAUCGACAAAAAAUACAAAAAAUCUCACCCGCUCCAACAUAACUGGACUUCCUGCCCGGAUACUUAUCACUAGGACCUACGGGCAGGAGUCAGAUUUUAGACUCUAAGGCGUUUUUCCACUACCGAUAUGUGUUGGUGCCAUUUCUCUUUCUCGCUUCUUGAUGCGGAGGAUCGUCUCCACGUAGGAGGCGAUUUUUAAUUUGUUAGGAGGGAUCGUUAUGAUGGAAAUAGAAGUAACAUGCUUACACUCAACAGCAUUGGAAUUUAUUUUCAUCAACGCUGAACAAUAUUCAGUUGUACAUAUUCAUUGGGAAUAAAAAUCACAUAUAAAAUUUAAA